CCAUCUCCACUACUAAUAAAAGAGCAAACAUUAUCUUUGCUAAACGCACCCCACAAAACAUACACGGACCCAAUACUACCGCAUAAUUAUCCCCACUAAUCUAAAUCCAACGGCUAGCCUUCACCUGAUAUGUUUUCUGGUGUGCACUUACUAAUUUAUGUUGACUCACCAUACUCCACCGCGGAGGAAAACUUCCAUGCGAAAGCAAACACAAUCCCUACAAUCACGUAGGUCUUACAAACAAAUUCAAACACGUAUCCCCCAUUCCCACAAAUAAUAAUAGACCUUCCAAAUCCAAAAACAAGAAACAUAUCCCACGGAUAUCCCCUCGCCGCUCAGAAACAUCAUCGCCUUCGCCUUCCUGGACGGCGACCUCGCCGCACGAAAACACCGCCGCCGCCUUCCCUGGCCGCCCUCCACUGGCCAUUACAUGCGCGGCUGCUCCCGCCUCACCUUCUUCGCUGCAAACAGGCCGUCGGUUCCUUGCAUCACCUGUGCCAUCCUCUGAAAACAUCAGGCAAGAUUUUAAUAUUAGACAUUUCUUCUUGUUCUUGCAAAUUAUCUUCUAACUUCCUUGUGCUUUAAGAAAAUGAAAUCUACAGAUUUAUGACAACAUAACUUGAAUCUAAUUCUGACUAAUAUAUGCUUCCAGUCAACCCUCUUGACAGAUUUUUGACUGGAGUAUUCAGUCUACGAAGUCGAUGUUAUGACUUCUCCAAAUCACUCGGGGGCACGCACCACAUUUCAGGAUAUAAGCAACAUCCAUUCCUCAGGUAACUAUCAGCCAACUGAGCGCUUCUUUUUUUCUGGGUUGAUGAACACUUCUAUAACGAAUGUGCUAAUUUCCAUUGUAUAUUUAAACAGACCCUAAAGAAAUUAAGAGGCAGAGGGACAGAGAAUAUUAUGCACGAAACAGAGAGGACAUUCUGAAAAGACGUCGAGAGGCACGUUUAAAGAAGCAGACUGAUAAACCACUGCCGAAUGAUGAGCAAAAUGUGCCACACACACCCCUAGCCAUGUCCCAUGGUAAGUAUGGCCAUAUACUGCAUGCUUAUGUAUUAUUCAGGUAACUUAUGAUACUCUAAAUCAUACAUGUAGACCCUACGGAGCUGAAGAGGCGACUGGAUAGGGAACAGUAUUCACAAAAUAGAGACGAAAUAUUAAAGAGACAACGUCAGGCCUACAGAAACAAAAAAAUGCCUGACGCUUCCGCUGAUAUCAGUGUCCAUGAAAAUGAAACACAAACACCGAUGUCCAUACCCAUUGGUAAUGAUGAUCAACCAACUACAUACAACCCUAUUUGUUGAUACUAACUAGCUUUCUCAUCUAUGUAGACCCUAAAGACAUACGGAGGCAAAGGGACAGGGAGCGGUAUGCACAAAAUAGGGAUGAACCUUGACCACAAAUUCUAAUGCUAAAAUGUUAUAAAUUGUUUUUUCAGUCUUCUACAUACUAAUAUCAUUUACAUAAGUUUAGUCUCAAAUUCCCAAUAGUCAUGUAGAUACAGAUAUAUAAGUUUAAAAGUUUGAGUAUGCACACACCCAACUGAUAAUAUCUCUUGACUGGAGCGAGAAGCACGUGCGGGUAGCAAUUAGUAUGUAAUAAUUAGUGCUAAGGAGUGACAGCAUGCUGAAACAAAACCUGAAAGCUAACCUUUUUCAUCUCACCAAGUGCAAAUGCUUUAUUUUUGCCUUGAAGAAAUCUACAACUGCUUCAACUCCAACAGUCUGACCUUCCCAAGCUACAUCCUGCAAACAAACAACAUUCGUAAGAAUGGCUUGGCAGAAGUUAGCAACAGGUCAUCAUUACCUCCUGAUGUUUAUUUGGCAUGAACAUACAUAACCCAGUUUCCUUUCUUGCAUGUAUGACUAGAACUGAAGUGUGAGAAGAAAAACACAUGAAUUGCCCACUCCAAAUAACAGACACACAUAAGCUAUCCCGCACGCUCAAACUGAUCGACAUCUAUUUGUCCUUCUAAACAACCAGAAAGAAUGAAUCUUCAUGUGAAAGACAAAUAACAUAAAAAUAAUAAUGAAUUGGUUAUAUUAACCGGAGAGACUAAACAGAACCACAAAGUGCCAAAAGAGUUCACAUAUAUUCAGGACAAGCUUACUCCAAGAUUAGACAGUAGGAAAACAGGAUCACCCCAAAUUAUAUUUUUUCUCUCCAAUUCGAAAAUGACUCUCAUGCUCAAACCUAGACUACUGAGCUACAUAAGUAUUGUACUAGAAUGGAUAGCAAUUAGGAUUUAGCAAGCAGAUACAGCCAUUUUCAAUCUAAAGAAACUUUUAAGUGUGUGGUCUCUCAUUACAGGAUGCAUUGUACACUCAAAAUUCUAAACUGCACCUAAUAAAAAAUCAUCAUUUAAUUUAAUAUAUCAUAUAACAGAUGACCGCCUGUUAUUUCUGCUCAGCAUACUUAUCAGAACGCAACUAUCUAAGUCAUCAUUUCUUCGGCUCACAAAUUCGCAAGAUCAUCAGAACAGUAAAUGUGUUACUGAAACACACACACACAAUAAAACUGACAUGAGACACCAAGAUAAACUUGAUCUCCAGAUGCAGAAACUCUACCGUGAAGUAAUAUCAUUCUGUCAUACAAUCCCUUUCUUGCAAGUCAUGCCCCAAGUUACCAUUUCUUACAGUAGCCUCUUAAGAGAAAGGAUCCUGACUUUCUAUCAAUAAAAGCACCACUGUGUGUGUUCACCAUCCAGCAGUGAUAUACCAUUUGUUAAACUCGAGUUCACAGUUGCGAAUGCCUGAAUCCAGAAGUACCUGGAGCAACCGACCACGUAGGCGAGCUGGGAGCGCCUUCUCGGAGCAGGUGUGGGAGCGAAGCACGAGGUCGACUAUCACGGUGGGCACGUAGACGAACUGGAACUCGGCCCGCUCCUAGAUGCCCGCUGCCGCAUCGUUUCCAGGAUGCUCCUCUAGCUCGCAUCUUGAUCUGCGCUGGAAGAUGUGGACGGCGGCGACAGAGUCGAUCUAGGGAAGAACGGCGGGGUUAGCGGCAAGCCGGCAAGGUGAGGUCGUGGUGGGGAGAGAAGGCGGCGGGCCGAGGCCAGGGUGGGGAGAGGAGGCGGCGGCCGACGGGGCGAGGCCGUGGUGGGUAGAUGAGGCAGUGGGGAGAGCAGGCGGGGCCACCAUGGAAUGGGGAGCGGUGGGGGAGAGAGUGAAGGUAUGAGGAGAACAGGGAGGGAGCGUCUGGCGU
rnacentral:lncRNA from 1 species